GCACUACUGAGGAGUCCCACAAUAGGACGAAAGAGCCGUCCAGUGC
rnacentral:hammerhead_ribozyme from 1 species